GGAGGGAUGGCGGAGUGGUCAAUCGCAGCAGACUGUAAAUCUGCCGAGCUUAGCUCUACGUUGGUUCAAAUCCAGCUCCCUCCACCA
rnacentral:tRNA from 4 species